UACGGGGGGGGCAAGCGUUGUUCGGAAUUACUGGGCGUAAAGGGCUCGUAGGUGGCCAACUAAGUCAGACGUGAAAUCCCUCGGCUUAACCGGGGAACUGCGUCUGAUACUGGAUGGCUUGAGUUCGGGAGAGGGAUGCGGAAUUCCAGGUGUAGCGGUGAAAUGCGUAGAUAUCUGGAGGAACACCGGUGGCGAAGGCGGCAUCCUGGACCGACACUGACACUGAGGAGCGAAAGUGUGGGGAGCGAACAGG
rnacentral:rRNA from 1 species